rnacentral:rRNA from 1 species
GAUGAACGCUGGCGGCGUGCCUAAUACAUGCAAGUCGAGCGAACAGACGAGGAGCUUGCUCCUCUGACGUUAGCGGCGGACGGGUGAGUAACACGUGGAUAACCUACCUAUAAGACUGGGAUAACUUCGGGAAACCGGCGCUAAUACCGGAUAAUAUAUUGAACCGCAUGGUUCAAUAGUGAAAGACGGUUUUGCUGUCACUUAUAGAUGGAUCCGCGCCGCAUUAGCUAGUUGGUAAGGUAACGGCUUACCAAGGCGACGAUGCGUAGCCGACCUGAGAGGGUGAUCGGCCACACGGGAACUGAGACACGGUCCAGACGCCUACGGGAGGCAGCAGUAGGGAAUCUGCCGCAAUGGGCGAAGGCCUGACGGAGCAACGCCGCGUGAGUGAUGAAGGUCUUCGGAUCGUAAAACUCUGUUAUGAGGGAAGAACAAAUGUGUAAGUAACUAUGCACGGCUUGACGGUACCUAGUCAGAAAGCCACGGCUAACUACGUG